AGCGUCGGUCGGAUGAGAUCGUUCAUCGCUCCAUCGACGAUGACGAAGGUCUUGUCGCC
rnacentral:sRNA from 1 species